AUGGAGGCGCCGGACGAGGAGGCCGGCCUGGGGCUCCCGGAGGGCGAGCGGCUUCUGGAGGUCACCAUCAUCUCCGCGCAGGGGCUGAAGCCGCCUUCUGGACUUCGGCGGCGGUUGCAGGCGUACGCCGUGGCGUGGGUUGACACCGCGCACAGGCUCCAGACGCAACCCGACCGCUCUGGCGGCCCCGAUCCGGCUUGGCACGAGCGGUUCCUCUUCCGCGUGCACGAAGCCGCGCUCGCCGAGGAUUCCCGCGCUGCCGUCACCGUGGAGAUCUACGCCUCACCGAACGGGGCCUGGCACAUCGGCGGGGACUCCCUGAUCGGAUCCGCGCGGUUCCUCCUCGGCGACAACUGCCUCCUGUCCCGCCCCGUUGGGUCCCCAGCCAUGUUCGCCGUCGGCGUCCGACGCCCCUCCGGCCGCGUCCACGGCCUCCUCAAUGUGGCUGCUAGCCUGGUCGCUGCGCCGCCCUCUCCGGCGGCCUCCCACGCCCUCAGCUUCUCCCCCGCCGUCUCUCUCAGCGGCCUACCCCCUGCCGUCGCCAUCAGCAGCCUCUCCACGGCGCCCAUCUCAGGCCGCGUGCUGCGCGUCCUCAACCGCGCGCAUCCAACACCCCCACCUUCUCCUAAGGUGCUCACGCCCAAGAAGCUGCAGGCCUCGGUGAAGCCCAACAAUAAGGGAUCGGACAACCAGCAGGUCGCGGUGAAGCCAAGUAACAAGCGUGAAGACGAUGCCAGCGAUCAGGAGGGGGAGGAUGAGAACACGUACAUGGGCGGGGUGAUGUUUUGCGGGCCUUGUGUCUUACCAUUCCCGAGAAAGAUUCACACCAGCCCCUCUGACGAGAACCUGCAGGCCUUCGCUGGCAUCUUCUCUAGCGGUGUUGGCAUUGCCAGACGGAGCCCGAGCCCUCGGCACUGA
rnacentral:rRNA from 1 species